CACACAGGUAUAUAAGCACACAGGUCACACAGGUAUAUAAGCACACCGGUCACACAGGUAUAUAAGCACACACGUCACACAGGUAUAUAAGCACACCGGUCACACAGGUAUAUAAGCACACAGGUCACACAGGUAUAUAAGCACACCGGUCACACAGGUAUAUAAGCACACCGGUCACACAGGUAUAUAAGCACACAGGUCAC